rnacentral:lncRNA from 1 species
UGUAAAGCAGGAAGUACCCAUGCAUCGGUCUUUUUUUUUGGCAGAUGAGCUUUUCUCACUUGUAGCUCAGUGCUUACAUACUACCUUAGUCUGUGCUGCUCUGUGCAUCCAUUUAACUGUAAGUAAACUAUUUACAUUCUUCUUUACCUUGAUUAAACAGUGGUUUACUUGAUUCUUCUUAUAUUCAUGUUCAUCAUCACUCAUCAUGCUAAAGGCCUGCUAAUUAGCCUGAGGCUAAUUAGAAAAGUGAAGAUCUGUAAUGUUUGCUUCCAUCACAUAAUCAUGUCAUGUACAUUUAUUUAUUGAUUAUUGUUGUUUAUUAUUUAGUUGUGUAGCUGAGAUUCUCAUAUUGAAUUCAGCCUUCUUUGGUAGACAAAAGGCUUCUUUGUUUGUUGGUCAGCAUUGCCUCACUGUUUCAUAUCGUGCUCAUGAUUUGCAUCCUUUUAGUAAGCUGCUUUUUCAUAGGUUGUUUACGUUUUAUUCUUUCUACAUAAUUUUGUUUCCUUCCUUUCAGAAAGCAAACUCUGCAAACUUACAAACAUAAAAAGAUGUCUCUCUUGGACACCCUGUAAAGACUCUUAAGCAAUAAAGCUCUCCCCACAGGAACAACUGUUUGUGACUUAACGUGUCACUUCAGAUGUUGCAUGUUCUUUCUCAAACGUAUAUGUGAAGAAAGUGUGUGUGCCUGACACACUUUUGAAAGUGUGUUUUGUCUAGAUUCAGUAUUGCGUAUAAAAGUGAGGGGGAAAUUGUUUAUUUGCAUUUGAUGGAUAUUUCUUGAGAUCAGGUCACUACAAAACGCAGACAACUCAUCUGAGUCUUUUUGUUGGCAAGCAGAAGUGAAAGUUGAUUUCCUAACUUUGAAAAUAACUAAAUAUAUCAUCUCCCAUUGACUGUUUCCUGUCAGUUAGGACUCAGGUUUGCAGCAGAUUUACACCCAGAUUUGUACAUAAUUUUCUAGAAGCUUUGAAAGAUUAAAACCACACCGUGGGUGAAUGAAGAGCAUGGAACUGUUUUUUAUCAUUGUGCUAUUAGUAGGAGGAACUCAAGGUAAGAUUGUCCUCAUAAAGAAGCCAAACAUUCACAUUUGUAGUGUGAAUAAUUCACCUCAUGUUCUAUUAAAUGCAUCUUCUCCAGCUCUCUUUCCAGUUGAUGCAACCACAUGUGACCUCAGGACAAACACAUGUCCAUGCUCUCCUCUUCUUGAAGGAACUGUGUAUGUCCAAGUGAUGACUGAUGCUAGUGGCCGUGAAAUGAAGUGUUUGAAGAUGCUUCCCAAGGGGAACAUAACUGUGUUCAGUCUGAAGAAAGAAAAAAUAACGACAGACAAGGAAUUUUACAACAGGCUAACGUUUAUAAUCAAGAACGGGACACUCAAGAUCACAAACCUGAAGAAGAGUGAUUCAGGUCAAUACAGCAUUGAGGUCUAUAAUUCAAAUGGAUUCCAAGAGAAAAACAUUUAUUUCACCCUGGAUGUUAAAGACAACAGCAAAGUUGAAAGCAAGUUAUCACACAGUUUUCCUUACCUGAGGAUAGUCUUUGCUGCACUGGGAUCUCCCCUGAUAGCAGUGUCGUGCUGCGUUGUGUAUCGGGAACUGAAGCAUCUUAAGAAGACUUCUAACAAGGCGGCCCAUGAUCAAAAGAGGUUGAUAUACGAUUACAUAAUUUCAGUGAAUACCAUCAUUUGA